CACCCUUUGAGGGAAAACUUUCUGAACUUUUUGACAAGUUCCUGGAGCGUCGCGGAGUCUGGAAAGCACCAGUCUCUGGAAUGGGACAUCCUGAGCGGCUUUGGCGCCUGGGGUGCGUCCCUUCCAGCGCCCGGACGCCGGAUUCCUGCGGCAGUUCUCGCCCGGCUCCACGGAGAACCCCCCAAAACAGAGUAGGGGCAUGGCGCCCCCUCCCUCGGGAGCCUGUGGCAAAUGCUUUGCGUUGCCAUCCUGAACUCACUUUUGGAAUGCCUCAGCCAAGAGCAUACCUGUGCUGGUCAGUAGCACCCACUGCGGCUGGAGAAUGAAGGACACCAGCAUUUCUUAAGCUGCAUCUAUCUUUGGAGCAUGGUUACAGGCAGGCACUUUCCCAGUAGUAGGGGGGUUGAGCACGAGGUGCUCUGGGAUUACAAUGCCCUGGGUUCAAAUCUCCACUCCGUACAUAUUAGCUGUGUAAUCUUGGGCAAGUGACUAAGCCUCUCUGGGUCUCAGUUUGCUCACUUGUAAAAUAGCAUCUGGCAUACUAUGCUGGAGGUGAAAGGACAUAAUAAUGCUCCUGAAGCACUCCACAUAGUAAUUGCUCAAUAAAUGGUCUCAGGUUUAGUUAUAUUGGGACAGAUCCAGCUUUUGUGGGGCCUGAAGCUUAUGAAACUUGGCAGAUGCUCUUUAAGAAAAGGAAUACAAAAUUAGACACAUACAUUAAAAUGCGGGAACUGAAGCUUAUACCUGUCUUUAACAUCUCGGUAAGUCCCCCUCUGGCUCUAACCAAUGAUUUUCAAGUUGCAGGUCAGGUUCUAUUAGAAGGUCAGCCAUGAAACCAAUUUAGAUAACCAAGAGAAGUCUUUUUUUCUUUUUCUUUUUUUUUAAGGAAAUAGAAUGGAAUAGAAAAGAUCUGUGUGCAAAGACAUAUGCACCCCUAUGUUUCUCGCAGCACUUUUUACAAUAGCAAAGAUAUGUAAGCAACCUAAGUGUCCAUCUGUAGAUGAAUGGAUAAAGAAGAUGUGGUACAUAUACACAAUGGAAUACUAUUCAGCCAUAAGAAAGAAACAAAUCCUACCAUUUGCAACAACAUGGAUGGAGCUGGAGGACAUUAUGCUCAGUGAAAUAAGCCAGGUGGAGAAAGACAAAUGCCAAAUGAUUUCCCUCAUUUAUGGAGUAUAACAAAGAAGCAAAACUGAAGGAACAAAAUGGCAGCAGACUCACGACUCCAAGAAUGAACUAGUGGUUACCAAAGGGGA